rnacentral:rRNA from 1 species
CAACUCGCCUGCACGAAGUUGGAUUGCUAGUAAUCGUGGAUCAGCAUGCCACGGUGAAUACGUUCCCGGGUCUUGUACACACCGCCCGUCACACCAUGGGAGCCGGUAAUACCCGAAGUCAGUAGUCUAACCGCAAGGAGGACGCUGCCGAAGGUAGGAUUGGCGACUGGGGUGAAGUCGUAACAAGGUAAC